rnacentral:rRNA from 1 species
CCUACGGGUGGCUGCAGUGGGGAAUAUUGGACAAUGGGGGAAACCCUGAUCCAGCAAUGCCGCGUGUGUGAAGAAGGCCUGCGGGUUGUAAAGCACUUUCGGUUGGGAAGAAAAGUUUGGCGCCAAUACCGCCGAACCUUGACGUUACUGACAGAAGAAGCACCGGCUAACUCUGUGCCAGCAGCCGCGGUAAUACAGAGGGUGCACACUUGGAUCGGAACGUGCGGGGGUGGUGCUGCAAGUGGUGUGUGAAAUCCCCGGGCUUAACCUGGGAACUGCAUUCGAUACUACAUGGCUAGAGUUUGGUAGAGGGAAGUGGAAUUUCCGGUGUAGCGGUGAAAUGCGUAGAUAUCGGAAGGAACACCAAUGGCGAAGGCAGCUUCCUGGACUAAUACUGACACUGAGGCACGAAAGCGUGGGUAGCAAACAGGAUUAGAUACCCCUGUAGUC